UAUGGCCACCACGGACCGGAUCUGGCAUGUCUCAGGUGCGCGCGCUUCCCAGAUCCGGUCAGCUUCGGCUCUCUCUCUCUCUCUCUCCCCAUGUGCAGGAGGGAGGCGCACAUGAGACAUGCCAGAUGAUGAAUCCCGUCCGGACCUGCGCUUAGCUGCCAGCAGCGGCGACGACAGCGAGGCGGGGAUGUCGCAGAGGUCGCACUCGCGCUUGGCCCCGGCGCGAGGCGACUCCGCGUCCGAUCCGCCUGCGACUCCUCGGGGACUCCACCCGCGAUGAAUCCGAGCUGCAGUACCCGUUCUCCGCCGACGACAUGGGUAGAUCCCUGGCUCGCUCGCUCGCUCGCCGCCGCCUCCUCGGUGCCCACGCCCGCCCGGCCGGAGCAGCGCACGGAGCCCCGCCUCACCUCGCCUCCCCCCAACGCCCGCGGCUUCGGAUGGCUCCUCGUCUGAUGGGCAUUGAGCAGGCAUCCGGGAGGGUGUUGUUCGUGGUGCUGCGAGGCCUCCCUUGGAGGCGUGCAGGCCAACCUCGUUGAGAUCCCGAGUGAGGGCGACCACGACACGCGGGUCUCCCUCCUAGGCCUCCCAUCGCUAUCCGUCACCAAGUUGAUGCAAGAUGAAGGGUUGUGUGCCAUAGAGGGAUUUCCAGGAGUUUCAGUUUUUCAGGUUUAAAUAGUUUCACCUAAUUUGCAAUUUAUUUACAUAAGAGAUCACUUGUUGGUAUUAUUAUUUCAGGGCAACUUGCUUAGGGAUGCAGCUUCAGUUAGUUCAGGUAUUUGCUCCUCACCAUGGAUGAGCCAUAAAGCCCACUCCCACUGAAAGAAGAAAGUGUAGCUUUUCAAUCUAUAUGAACAUGCUGAGGGGACAUGUAUA